rnacentral:rRNA from 1 species
AUUGAACGCUGGCGGCAUGCCUUACACAUGCAAGUCGAACGGUAACAGGUCUUCGGAUGCUGACGAGUGGCGAACGGGUGAGUAAUGCAUCGGAACGUGCCCAGUAGUGGGGGAUAGCCCGGCGAAAGCCGGAUUAAUACCGCAUACGACCUGAGGGUGAAAGGGGGGGAUCGCAAGACCUCUCGCUAUUGGAGCGGCCGAUGUCAGAUUAGCUAGUUGGUGGGGUAAAGGCCUACCAAGGCAACGAUCUGUAGUUGGUCUGAGAGGACGACCAGCCACACUGGGACUGAGACACGGCCCAGACUCCUACGGGAGGCAGCAGUGGGGAAUUUUGGACAAUGGGCGCAAGCCUGAUCCAGCAAUGCCGCGUGCAGGAAGAAGGCCUUCGGGUUGUAAACUGCUUUUGUCAGGGAAGAAAUCUUCUGGGUUAAUACCUCGGGAAGAUGACGGUGCCUGAAGAAUAAGCACCGGCUAACUACGUGCCAGCCGCCGCCGUAAUAC